rnacentral:misc_RNA from 1 species
UUGAACCUUUUGGAUCAAUUCAAAGGGCAACAAAUAAUAACCUAUCAUCAGCUGUUAUGCUACAUAAAUAUAGCACAUCUUUUUUCCUAAGAAAGUUCCGCUAGAAAUAAAUAUUGUGGUUGAGGAACUAUAUUUGAUGUUCAAUUCAACAAUAUUUGACCAAAUGUACUUAAUAAUAACACAAAUAGUUAUUGCUCCCCAUGUCUUCAGGCAAUCAUGCUCCAAAUGAAAGUAAUCACUGAUUCUUCUUUCCAUUAGGAUAACUUUCUAUUCAUUAUAGUUAACCUUUUUAAUUAACAUCUAUAGCAGAAUCACACUGAAGAAAAUUUUCAUUUGAUCUAAGUAAUAGUUUCAGCACACCUUCAAGGUUCUAGAAUAUCACAGUAAAGAUCCACACACUGAAAGGGCAUCUAAUCAUGCCCUGUGAAGGACCACAAAAGGAACUCAAGGUACAGUUUGA